CUUUAGCUCUAGCAAAUUGAAGUGUUUGGGUAAGAUAGUACUCGUUCUACCUUUUCCCCCCACUUUUUCUUUUGGUCUCUCUUGUGCUCUUGGGGCGGUUAGAGUGAGAGUGCUUGGGGGGGGGGGGGGGAGGAGGAAUAUCUUGGAUC
ensembl:ncRNA R04B3.6 ncRNA